AUUGAACGCUGGCGGCAGGCCUAACACAUGCAAGUCGAACGGUAACAGGAAACAGCUUGCUGUUUCGCUGACGAGUGGCGGACGGGUGAGUAAUGUCUGGGAAACUGCCUGAUGGAGGGGGAUAACUACUGGAAACGGUAGCUAAUACCGCAUAACGUCGCAAGACCAAAGAGUGGGACCUUCGGGCCUCUUGACAUCGGAUGUGCCCAGAUGGGAUUAGCUAGUAGGUGGGGUAACGGCUCACCUAGGCGACGAUCCCUAGCUGGUCUGAGAGGAUGACCAGCCACACUGGAACUGAGACACGGUCCAGACUCCUACGGGAGGCAGCAGUGGGGAAUAUUGCACAAUGGGCGCAAGCCUGAUGCAGCCAUGCCGCGUGUAUGAAGAAGGCCUUCGGGUUGUAAAGUACUUUCAGCGGGGAGGAAGGGAGUAAAGUUAAUACCUUUGCUCAUUGACGUUACCCGCAGAAGAAGCACCGGCUAACUCCGUGCCAGCAGCCGCGGUAA
rnacentral:rRNA from 1 species